GCACGUGUUGGAAAUAUAACGGCCCUUUCCAUAAUCGCGACCUUCAACUUUCAAGUUAAUUUUAUCAGUUCAAGCCCAAAAGGGGAACAGAUAGUGUUACAGACACAGUGAUGAUGCUCGUAUGUAUUUUCAGUACACAAGCCGCGGUUAAGACUAUUUCUGAUGGGCUGUACACUCCGCUGUGAUGUGACCCUGUUCCCCUAUGAAGCACAAACACAAGUGCAUAACGACAACGGCUUGAAUCUGCUGCUACGAGUCUCAGAUGCUGUUUUUCACUUGCAAAUGACAAGUUUCGCACUCUCCUUUUGCACCACAUAUCUGUGUGACAAAUGGAGCAAAAGUGAUUUGUGCAUCUGUAGAGGCAGCGGCGGCCCUCUGCAGAGAUCAGAGAAGUUCGGCCAAUCAGAAGAGCUACACUGUAUCAGGUUUUUGUUAUUCUUUAUAGUUCUUCGGUUUUUUAUGAUCAAGUUUGUGGAUCUUAUCGUCUGCAACGUCGAGGGUGUAUUUUGGAGCCAUCGCGACAGUGAUUACAUCAGCUGGUUUUAGUCUAUUGGUAAUGUCACUUGCAACGGAGGUGUAUUGGAGUGUUUUCCUGUGAUUGAAUCAUGGAGGUGGUAACAACAGGAGAUUGCUCCAAGCAAAAACAGGGAUGCUGACUAUGAAGGGCAGAAUCACAAUAUUGCCAGCUGUCAAUUUGAUUCAAAUUAGUUUGUGGUCUGGAUCAUGUCAUCUGCAAUACAUUCCAGUUGGAGGCUUUUUUUGUGAUUGCUAUUGUGACAGGAAUGACAUCAACUGGUAGGUUAGCCGAAGUAAACUAGUUAGUUUUUUUUUUUUUUUUUUUAAUCGUUAUCCAUUCCCUUGAUAAUCAACCCCAUUAUUUCAGCAAUAUAACACUAAGCUCACAAUGUCAAAUGCAGAAACGUUAAUUCAUACGUUCAUGACCUCGAGGCUAGAUUAUUGUAAUGCUUUAUUGGGUGGUUGCUCUGCACAUUUAAUAAACAAACUCCAGUUGGUCCAAAAUGCAGCAGCUAGAGUUCUUACUAGAACCAGGAAGUAUGACCAUAUUAGCCCGGUUCUGUCAACACUGCACUGGCUCCCUAUCAAACAUCGGAUAGAUUUUAAAAUCUUGUUAAUUACUCCUCAGUACUUGAGCGAGCUCUUAUCACAUUAUAGUCCUCCAUGUCUGCUGCGUUCUCAAAACUCUGGCCGUUUGAUAAUACCUAGAAUAUCAAAACUGUGGGCGGCAGAUCCUAUUCCUAUUUAGCACCCAAACUCUGGAACAGUCUACCUAACACUGUUCGGGAGGCAGACACACUCGGUCAGUUUAAAUCUAGAUUAAAGACCCAUCUCUUUAGCCUGGCUUACAUAUAACACACUAAUACGCUUCUAUUAUUCAAAUCCGUUAAAGGAUUGUUAGGCUGCAUUAAUUAGAUCAACCGGAACCGGUUUACACUUCCCAUAACACACAAAGUACUCGUUACACCGUUAGAAGAAUGGUAUCUACGUUAAUAUUAGUCUGUUUCUUUCUUAUUCCGAGAUCACCGUAGCCACCCGAUCCAGUCCGUAUCCAGAUCAGAUGGUGGAUCAACACUUAGAGAUGACCUCUACAGCCCUGAACGUCAGAGAUCAGGACACCUAGAUGAGCCCCAGAGACUGAUCCCCAGUGAAGACCCUGUCCCCUAGACGGCCAUCGGGACAGGACCACGGGAACCAGAUGAGUCCUCUGCACAAUCUGACUCUGCUGCAGCAUGGAACAACCUGCUGGUUCAUUCCGAGUAUCAACCCUGGUGGCAUACCAUUCAGAGUCACAGAUUAGAUGGAGUUCUGGGAAGAGGGUGCAAAGACAAAGCAUCAGCCUGAAUCCCCUCGUGGUGUUUCUCAUCAGAGAGCUUGUCAACUUUGCCAAAAUUACUGAAAUUUAACACAAUACAAACACAUUUUUACUGUAUUUUUAUUUCUGUGAAGUCUGUUUUGCCAUGCUGCAGACACAAAGUCCCCAGGGGACUGUGGUGAUGCCCUUUUUCAGCUAGCACAUGCUGGAGAUGAAGAUUUGUAAUUUGUAUUUUUAAAAAGAACAUGUUCAACAAUUAAAAAGAAUAUUAUAAAGACAAAUGCUAAUGAGUUAGUGAUCUUUAUGGGGUUGGGGUUGUAAAAUAAUAUGGUAUACAGUGUUGUACUGCAAUUAGAUUGUUUCAUACAAGUAAACAUUUUAAAUGAACUAAACAGUACUAAUAUUGACAAUACAGGAACUUUAAAUGAGAAUACAGUAAUACAUUCAGCUACUGUAAAAAUUUACAGCAAUCUCUUUACAGUGUAGUUUAGGUGCAUAUCCGUUGGCACCUGAAAGAGCAGGGGGUAAUAAUAAAAUAAUAAUAAAAGCUGCGAGCAUCUUCCGGAGCGGACAGCAGCAAAUACCAAUAAAGGUACAUUUUCUUUCUUUUUCUGAAAUCACUCACUGUUAUACUGUACAUUUGUUCAUAAUUUAAAUAUAUAUAUAUUAACAAAUAUAUUUAAUCGUCUUGUAUAUGACACUCUCAUAGUAAUUUAUUUAAUUAACGGGUUUAUCUUUUAUGAAGCCUCUUUGUGAGUUGAAGCAGGGAUGGGCAAACUAUAAAAUAUGUUGUUAGUAACAUUCUAAAAUAACUGUAUGUGGAAGAUACACAGUUACAACUUCUGUGGGGUGUAACUAAUUACUGUUGCCAGAAAGUAAUAAGUAAAGUAACAAUGUUACUUUUUAAAGGAAUAAGUAAUAUAUUGCAUUCUUUGAGUAACAAGCCCAACACUGAUUGUUACUUUACUUUGCAACGGUAAUUAGUUACUAGUUGCAUUACUUUUUAAUAACAUAUUUUUGCCUCAUCAUUUGACCAAAAUCCACAUUGGAUCGCAGUCAGAAGUUAUUACCAACACUCAAAAGUGAUUGAUAGUGACAUUCAAGUAGAAGUGUUGUAUUAAUCUCAUUAAUUGUCAUGUGCAGCUUGAAGCUAAUUGUAAUUUCUAUACAUUUCAUUAUGUAUUUUAUCAAAUCACAUAAGUUUGUAAGAAACGGUUUAAUUUUUUAAAAAGAUUUUAAAUAAUAGUAAUAUAAUGUAGCACAUGCUGGUCAGAGGGAUGUAAUGCGAGAGUAAAGUACAGCCACAACUUACACAGCAGUGUUCAAAUCAUCUUUUUUCCUAACAAAAUCAAUAUAAUGCAAUAUUUCUAUCUGCUAAAUGUAAGCUUUUCCAUAUUGCAAGCUUGCCUGCUGCACUGGGGACAUCACAUGCAUGUGUGAGUCAUGAAAAUUAUGAAAAUAAAUCUAGGAAUUAUUUGAUUGUUGGAUUUUUUAAUCAGCGGUGUUGAGCCAUAAAAGUAACUAAGCUGUUUUAUGGAUGGCACCUGUACUAUUAUUACUGUCUUAACUUAUUAGUAAUUAGUUACACUACUAGUUACUGCAAAAAGUAAUAUUAUUACAGUAACUAAAAGUUACGUUACUGCCCAACACUGAUUAGGACUACUAGAACUAGAAGGCUACAGGUAGGUGAGUUUUAUCAGGGUUGGAGCUAAACUCAUUUAAUAUUUAAACUAUAAACAAAUAUACUGUACAGUAUAACAGUGAGUGAUUUCAGAAAAAGUAAGAAAAAAAGCAUACCUUUAUUAGUUUCCGCUCUCCGCUCCGGAAGAUGCUCACAGCUCGCAAAUGUUUUUUUUUAUUUUUCCUCCCCGCUGAUAGGCGCCCAAACUAGCUCUUCUGAUUGGCCGAACUUCUCUGAUCUCUGCAGAGGGCCGCCGCUGCCUCUACAGAUGCACAAAUCACUUUUGCUCCAUUUGUCACACAGAUAUGUGGUGCAAAAGGGAGAGUGCGCGAAACUUGUCAUUUGCAAGUGAAAAACAGCAUCUGAGACUCGUAGCAGCAGAUUCAAGCCGUUG